rnacentral:rRNA from 1 species
UACGAAGGGGGCUAGCGUUGUUCGGAAUCACUGGGCGUAAAGGGCGCGUAGGCGGCCGAUCAAGUCGGGGGUGAAAGCCUGUGGCUCAACCACAGAAUUGCCUUCGAUACUGUUUGGCUUGAGACCGGAAGAGGUUAGUGGAACUGCGAGUGUAGAGGUGAAAUUCGUAGAUAUUCGCAAGAACACCAGUGGCGAAGGCGGCUGACUGGUCCGGUUCUGACGCUGAGGCGCGAAAGCCAGGGGAGCAAACGGG